rnacentral:rRNA from 1 species
UACGUAGGGGGCAAGCGUUGUCCGGAUUUAUUGGGCGUAAAGAGCGUGUAGGCGGCCAAACAGGUCCGUUGUGAAAACUCGAGGCUUAACCUCGAGACGUCGAUGGAAACCGUUUGGCUAGAGUCCGGAAGAGGAGAGUGGAAUUCCUGGUGUAGCGGUGAAAUGCGCAGAUAUCAGGAAGAACACCCGUGGCGAAGGCGGCUCUCUGGGACGGUACUGACGCUGAGACGCGAAAGCGUGGGGAGCGAACAGG